AUGUCUGAAAGUAUCAAGGUUAUUGUCUCUCUCUUUCUUGUGGUGUUAUUGGCUCUUGCAGCAACCCAGACAGAGUCAAGAUACAUAAAUUAUCAUGCCCUUCAUGGAGAUCACAGUUUAAUUUGUGAUAAAGCGCACCCAAACACCUGCGAGAAGGAAGAAGCCAAUCCUUAUACUAGAGGAUGCGAGACAAUCGAUCGUUGUCGUGGUCAAUCUCUAGGCCCAAAAAUGUGAAUCGACCAAGUAGAGUACACCACCCUUGGUUAAUUUUACAAAUGAUAUCUCCAUAUUAAUAUCAGAUGAUUAAUUUCAUUCAUUAUUUAUUUAUAAUCUGUAUUGGUUUGUAACUGAUUGUUACCCUAUCAUUUAUGAUAUAAAACAAAUAUAUUUAUGUUAUCUUUUUAUUUUUGAAUAUAUGUUUAAUUUAUUCAAAAGAAAACAAACUUUUUUACCCAAGUGCCACUAAGUUUUGUAAACAAUUAUCCACAAGCUUAAACCAGCUGCGUUCUUGAACUCUCUCGUUUGAUAAAAGGAGAGACACCGAUUGCGAACAAGUUUCUCCAAAGAUUUGGCAAGAGAUGUCACUGUCGUAAGAGCUGCUCCUUGUCUUCUAUCGUUACGUUCUUUCCAUAGUACAUGAACUGAAGCUUGUAAUACAUACCGUGUGAGAAAACGUUGGAGAAAACUGUGUCUUUUAUCUAAGGAACAUAAUCCUCCUGUUUUCUGAUAUUCUCCCAUGUUCUUUUAGUACUGAAAACUGGUUUGUAUUUUUCCUCCUUGUAUUUCCAGUGAGAUUGAUCCUCCACAACUGAAAUUUAUCCCUUUAAGCAUCUAUAAGUGUUUCCACCUCAUUAAAACGAUCAACUCGAUGCCUUCGUCUUCUUCGAUUAGCAACAGCCUUUGCGACAGUGAAUUUUAAAGGAAUUCCUAUGUAAAGCUAUUCCCGCGCCAUUGGAAUUUAAAGGAUUUGGAUAUAGUUUAAUUGUUGAUUUUAAAUGAUAUCUCAAUUAUUUGGGCGAUUGUAACUAUUUAUUGUUGUUUUGAAUAUUUAUAUAUAUAUAUAUAUAUUAAAAUAUUAUUUAUUUAUUUUAAAAUUAGUUAAAUAAAAACUUAUACCCCCAGUUAAAUAAAAACUAGCUCUACCACUGAUUGAACCUUGCAAGCUAGAUAUGUGUUGGAUCUUUUUUCGGAUAUAGCUUCUAUCCGAACAUCAGUCAUGUCAUCUUCCUCAUCGCUAGGGGUAUAUUUAGAAAGAGAAAAAUGAAAUAUAGGGUUUGGACCCCCAUUUUUAAAGGCUCACUUUUAAAAGGUUAUGUAGUUAAUUUUUUAAAAAACAUUUUACCAUUUCAUGUAAAGGAAAGAAGUGCAAACCAAGAAUGAAAAAAUGAUAAUAAUAAUAAAACAUAACUAAAGUAGGAGCUACAAUUAACAUAAAAAAGAAAAAAUAUUAUAUUUACAUAGACUUUUUAACUUUGUCUUUUCCUCUUUCUCCAUGACUCUUAAGCUUUUUCUCGUCUGUAAUAUUUGGGUUAGGCAUGGGCAUUCGAGGUUCCAAUCGGGUUUCGGUUUUGUCCAAUCAGAUCUCGGGUUUUCGGGUUUAUCAAAAUCAGUCUCAUUCGGGUUAUACAAAAAUUCGGUUCGGGACCAGUUCGGGUUCGGAUCGGGGUUAGUAAAUCUUCAAAGAACCGGUACAACCCGAUGUACUUUCGGGUUUGAGUCCCAAUCGGUUCUUUGGUUUAAAAGUACAUAAUUUGUAUUUACUUUGUAACCAAAACAUAAGUAAAAUCAGUUUUUCGGUUUUAAAAUACCUGAUUUAUAUCUAUUUUGUAACCAAAACAUAAGUUAAAUCGAUUCAAAAAUAAGAAAAGAACAUCAAACGCGAUCAUUCAAAAUUAAACGAAAGGUAAUGAUAGAAAGAAAACCAAAUAAAAUAAAGCAUAAAACAAAAACUAAGUUCUCAUGAAAUGAAAAAUAUUAUUCAAUGAAAACAAAACCAAAAUCUAAGAACUUCAAGCUUCAACCACCAACUUCAACCAUCAACAUUUAUGUAAUAUAUAAUUACUUUAGAUGUUCAAUAAUUUCUUAGUGUGUUCUGAAUACUAAAGAUUUAAGAUUAUGUUUGAUACAAGCUAUUUUGGGAGAUUUUGAAUUUUUUGGGUUCUAUCGAGUAUCCAUAUAGGUUCGGGUUCGGUUCGGAUAACACUCAUAACCCAAAAUACCACAAAACAAGAUCCAAUCGGUAUUUACGUCGUGUCGUGUCGGAUCGGUUCAGAUUCAUUUUUAUCGAAUCGGGUUCGAUUUAUUUGCCCAGCUCUAAUUUGGGUAGGCCCCCAUUUUUUCUUGCUUAUGGCCUCAUUUAUUGCCGAGAUCCCCCUACUCACCGCCUUCCGGAACGCCUUUAAAAGUUGUUUUGCGACCUUUAAUCUUGAACAAGGAAAGCAAAUUAUAUCUGUCAUUGCUAAAGAUCCCUUAAUUUUAAGAAAACAUCAACCAGCUGAUCUAUAUACUAAAAGUAUCUGUUUACUAAAAAUUACAUGUUUACUAAUUAAUCACCAUCCCAAAAAUAACUAUUUGAAGUACAUCCACUAUCUUCUAUAUAAGUACCAAUAACCUCUUCUUCAAAACCAAACAGAGCCGAUACCAAAUACAAUUAAAUAUAUAAACACAAAAUAAUUGAGCUCCUAGUCGGGGUUUCUCUUAUAAACUAUUUAUUUAUUUAAUUUGGUUGGAAAAUAAAAAUAAAUAGUAUGGGGAUGUCUGAAAGUAUCAAGGUUAUUGUCUCUCUCUUUCUUGUGGUGUUAUUGGCUCUUGCAGCAACCCAGACAGAGUCAAGAUACAUAAAUUAUCAUGCCCUUCAUGGAGAUCACAGUUUGAUUUGUGAUAAAGCGCACCCAAACACCUGCAAGAAGGAAGAAGCCAAUCCUUAUACCAGAGGAUGCGAGACAAUCGAUCGUUGUCGUGGUCAAUCUCUAGGCCCAAAAAUGUGAAUCGACCAAGUAGCGUACCACCCUUGGUUAAUUUUACAAAUGAUAUCUCCAUAUUAAUAUCAGAUGAUUAAUUUCAUUCAUUAUUUAUUUAUAAUCUGUAUUGGUUUGUAACUGAUUGUUACCCUAUCAUUUAUGAUAUAAAACAAAUAUAUUUAUGUUAUCUUUUUAUUUUUGAAUAUAUGUUUAAUUUAUUCAAAAGAAAACAAACUUUUUUACCCAAGUGCCACUAAGUUUUGUAAACAAUUAUCCACAAGCUUAAACCAGCUACGUUCUUGAACUCUCUCGUUUGAUAAAAGGAGAGACACCGAUUGCGAACAAGUUUCUCCAAAGAUUUGGCAAGAGAUGUCACUGUCGUAAGAGCUGCUCCUUGUCUUCUAUCGUUACGUUCUUUCCAUAGUACAUGAACUGAAGCUUGUAAUACAUACCGUGUGAGAAAACGUUGGAGAAAACUGUGUCUUUUAUCUAAGGAACAUAAUCCUCCUGUUUUCUGAUAUUCUCCCAUGUUCUUUUAGUACUGAAAACUGGUUUGUAUUUUUCCUCCUUGUAUUUCCAGUGAGAUUGAUCCUCCACAACUGAAAUUUAUCCCUUUAAGCAUCUAUAAGUGUUUCCACCUCAUUAAAACGAUCAACUCGAUGCCUUCGUCUUCUUCGAUUAGCAACAGCCUUUGCGACAGUGAAUUUUAAAGGAAUUCCUAUGUAAAGCUAUUCCCGCGCCAUUGGAAUUUAAAGGAUUUGGAUAUAGUUUAAUUGUUGAUUUUAAAUGAUAUCUCAAUUAUUUGGGCGAUUGUAACUAUUUAUUGUUGUUUUGAAUAUUUAUAUAUAUAUAUAUUAAAAUAUUAUUUAUUUAUUUUAAAAUUAGUUAAAUAAAAACUUAUACCCCCAGUUAAAUAAAAACUAGCUCUACCACUGAUUGAACCUUGCAAGCUAGAUAUGUGUUGGAUCUUUUUUCGGAUAUAGCUUCUAUCCGAACAUCAGUCAUGUCAUCUUCCUAAUCGCUAGGGGUAUAUUUAGAAAGAGAAAAAUGAAAUAUAGGGCUUGGACCCCCAUUUUUAAAGGCUCACUUUUAAAAGGUUAUGUAGUUAAUUUUUUAAAAAACAUUUUACCAUUUCAUGUAAAGGAAAGAAGUGCAAACCAAGAAUGAAAAAAUGAUAAUAAUAAUAAAACAUAACUAAAGUAGGAGCUACAAUUAACAUAAAAAAGAAAAAAAUAUUAUUUACAUAGACUUUUUAACUUUGUCUUUUCCUCUUUCUCCAUGACUCUUAAGCUUUUUCUCGUCUGUAAUAUUUGGGUUAGGCAUGGACAUUCGAGGUCCCAAUCGGGUUUCGGUUUUGUCCAAUCAGAUCUCGGGUUUUCGGGUUUAUCAAAAUCAGUCUCAUUCGGGUUAUACAAAAAUUCGGUUCGGGACCAGUUCGGGUUCGGGUUCGGGUCGGGGUUAGUAAAUCUUCAAAGAACCGGUACAACCCGAUGUACUUUCGGGUUUGAGUCCCAAUCGGUUCUUUGGUUUAAAAGUACAUAAUUUGUAUUUACUUUGUAACCAAAACAUAAGUAAAAUCAUUUCUUCGGUUUUAAAAUACCUGAUUUAUAUCUAUUUUGUAACCAAAACAUAAGUUAAAUCGAUUCAAAAAUAAGAAAAGAACAUCAAACGCGAUCAUUCAAAAUUAAACGAAAGGUAAUGAUAGAAAGAAAACCAAAUAAAAUAAAGCAUAAAACAAAAACUAAGUUCUCAUGAAAUGAAAAAUAUUAUUCAAUGAAAACAAAACCAAAAUCUAAGAACUUCAAGCUUCAACCACCAACUUCAACCAUCAACAUUAAUGUAAUAUAUAAUUACUUUAGAUGUUCAAUAAUUUCUUAGUGUGUUCUGAAUACUAAAGAUUUAAGAUCAUGUUUGAUACAAGCUAUUUUGGGAGAUUUUGAAUUUUUUGGGUUCUAUCGAGUAUCCAUAUAGGUUCGGGUUCGGUUCGGAUAACACUCAUAACCCAAAAUACCACAAAACAAGAUCCAAUCGGUAUUUACGUCGUGUCGGAUCGGUUCGGAUUCAUUUUUAUCGAAUCGGGUUCGAUUUAUUUGCCCAGCUCUAAUUUGGGUAGGCCCCCAUUUUUUCUUGCUUAUGGCCUCAUUUAUUGCCGAGAUCCCCCUACUCACCGCCUUCCGGAACGCCUUUAAAAGUUGUUUUGCGACCUUUAAUCUUGAACAAGGAAAGCAAAUUAUAUCUGUCAUUGCUAAAGAUCCCUUAAUUUUAAGAAAACAUCAACCAGCUGAUCUAUAUACUAAAAGUAUCUGUUUACUAAAAAUUACAUGUUUACUAAUUAAUCACCAUCCCAAAAAUAACUAUUUGAAGUACAUCCAUUAUCUUCUAUAUAAGUACCAAUAACCUCUUCUUCAAAACCAAACAGAGCCGAUACCAAAUACAAUUAAAUAUAUAAACACAAAAUAAUUGAGCUCCUAGUCGGGGUUUCUCUUAUAAACUAUUUAUUUAUUUAAUUUGUUUGGAAAAUAAAAAUAAAUAGUAUGGGGAUGUCUGAAAGUAUCAAGGUUAUUGUCUCUCUCUUUCUUGUGGUGUUAUUGGCUCUUGCAGCAACCCAGACAGAGUCAAGAUACAUAAAUUAUCAUGCCCUUCAUGGAGAUCACAGUUUGAUUUGUGAUAAAGCGCACCCAAACACCUGCAAGAAGGAAGAAGCCAAUCCUUAUACCAGAGGAUGCGAGACAAUCGAUUGUUGUCGUGGUCAAUCUCUAGGCCCAAAAAUGUGAAUCGACCAAGUAGCGUACCACCCUUGGUUAAUUUUACAAAUGAUAUCUCCAUAUUAAUAUCAGAUGAUUAAUUUCAUUCAUUAUUUAUUUAUAAUCUGUAUUGGUUUGUAACUGAUUGUUACCCUAUCAUUUAUGAUAUAAAACAAAUAUAUUUAUGUUAUCUUUUUA
rnacentral:lncRNA from 1 species